UACGGGGGGGGCAAGCGUUGUUCGGAAUUACUGGGCGUAAAGGGCUGGUAGGCGGCCAACUAAGUCGGAUGUGAAAUCCCCAGGCUUAACCUGGGAACUGCAUCCGAUACUGGUCGGCUUGAAUCCGGGAGAGGGAUGCAGAAUUCCAGGUGUAGCGGUGAAAUGCGUAGAUAUCUGGAGGAACACCGGUGGCGAAGGCGACUAUCUGGGCUUUAACUGACGCUGAGGCGCGAAGGCCGGGGGAGCAAACAGG
rnacentral:rRNA from 1 species